rnacentral:misc_RNA from 1 species
CUGAAGAAACAAGGGGUUUUUGAGACUGCGUCCUUCAUUGGCGUGUGCUCGACCCCUUACUCUUUCAUCCCACAUACACCUUUGUGCACCAAGGGACCUUGUGUCCCCUUUUUUUCAUAAAUGCCAAGUUAUAUGCAUGUAUACAAUUAACUCUACGGAGUUUAUUAUAUAAAUA